GGAAUAACCCCAGCCUCACGGGGCCUCGAUUUCUUCAUCUGCAGUAUUGGCAGGGAGGUUGUAACAGUGCGGUCGUGAAGACAGAAUUAGUUAACUCAUGGAAACGAUUGAGAAACCAGUGUCUGACACAUAGAAAGCACCAGAUAUUAGCUUUAUUACUGGUCUGAGCUCUUCUCAGACUCAGUGACUCAGGGUGGCUGGCACUUUUAAGGGAGACUCCUCAAGUGAGCCCACUCUGUGCACCCGGCUUCACCUCCGGGCUCACCUCCCGCCUUCCCCACCUCCUUGUCUGGCCCUCCAGUUAUUCUACUCUCUAGAAUGGCUUCACAAACUUUACUGUGCAUCCGAAUUUCUGGAGGAUCUUACUAAGCCGCAAACUGAUUCAGGAGGUCUGGGUGGGGCCUGGGAUUCUAACUUUCCUAUAAGCUCCCAGGUGGUACUGAUGCGGGUCCGAGAGGCAAGACUCCAGAAGAUCCGUGCAGAUCCAAAAGUGUCAGCUAGUUGACUUGUAAAUAUUUACUGAGCACCUACUCGAUGUAAGGCGGUGUGGGGAUCCAAACAAGUCGGAGGACUGGCCUCCACCCUCAAGCAGCAAAGAGGCUAUUGCACAAACACCAGGCCCUACCUCUUCUGGCCUUGCCUCUGGCCUCAUCUCUCAGCACUCACUUUAUUCUAAACUCACCAUUUGUUCCUGUGAACCCAACAUCCCAACUUCCUGAGAGCCUUUGAACUUGCUUGGGUUGAUCAUGCUUGUCCUUCAAACUGAGAUUUUAUUUAUUCAUGAGAGACACAGAGACACAGGCAGAGGGAGAAGCAGGCUCCCUGCAGGGAGCCCCACGAGGGACUCGAUCCCAGGUCUCCAGGAUCACGCCCUGGGCUGAAGGCGGCGCUAAACCACUGAGCCACCAGGGCUGCCCUAUAUAACGGAAUUUCCAUAAAAACCUUAAACAGGAGAGUUUGAAGAGUUUCUGUGUUGGUGAAGGCUCCCACGAGUGGGAUGGCGGUACACCGCAACUCCUGGCAGACAGAAACUCCUGUGCUGGAGACCCUUCUGGACCUUGCCCUGUGUACCUCUUCAUCCGGUUGUUCAUUUGUAUCGUCUAUGAUAUCCUUUAUAAUAAACCAGGAAUAGUGUUUUCCUGA